GACGAACGCUGGCGGCGUGCUUAACACAUGCAAGUCGAACGGAAAGGCCCUGCUUUUGUGGGGUGCUCGAGUGGCGAACGGGUGAGUAACACGUGUGUAACCUGCCCUUGACUUUGGGAUAACUUCAGGAAACUGGGGCUCAUACCGGAUAGGAGCUCCUGCUGCAUGGUGGGGGUUGGAAAGUUUCGGCGGUUGGGGAUGGACUCGCGGCUUAUCAGCUUGUUGGUGGGGUAGUGGCUUACCAAGGCUUUGACGGGUAGCCGGCCUGAGAGGGUGACCGGCCACAUUGGGACUGAGAUACGGCCCAGACUCCUACGGGAGGCAGCAGUGGGGAAUAUUGCACAAUGGGCGGAAGCCUGAUGCAGCAACGCCGCGUGCGGGAUGACGGCCUUCGGGCUGUAAACCGCUUUCGCCUGUGACGAAGCGUGAGUGACGGUAAUGGGUAAAGAAGCACCGGCUAACUACGUG
rnacentral:rRNA from 1 species